CUUCAACAGACAACAGCAACACUCUCUUUCUCUUCCAUUUCUUCAGUUUCCUUUUCUCACCAUAAAGAAAAAUACGAACUUUCUCAUUAACACCCACUUCUUCAAUUCUCAUUUUAAACCAUAUCAAAAUCGUGAACAUUGCUUUACAAUCGCAAUCCAGAGCUUGAAUUCUGUUGAAACUGAUAAAAUCACUGAUGAAACUUUUAGAAGAUACUGCUUAAACAAUAAUGUGAUGAAAAAAAUGGUGGAAAUGGGGUUUCAAUUGUUUGGUUUGCAGAUAAUUUGAGUUUUUUGGUUACUUGAAGCUUUCUAUAGAGCUCGGAUGUCUUUUCACUCCAUUCUGCCUGUUUGUUGUAUUGAUUCUAGGAAUUUUGGGACUACACAUUACUUUGGAUUUCCUAAAACGGCAGAUUUAUGCACAUAUAGAAACUUGUAGCAAGGAGAUGCUUGUGGAAAGACUUGUCAAGAAAGGUUGCAAGGAGUAUCUCUACUAUCAGAGGAAUCCACAUCCACCAGUCGAAAUCCUGCAAAUGUGAAGCUUGAGCUUACUUGGGGAAGUACUAGUACCAUAUCGAUGAUCUCCCAUUUAAUCAAAGUAGUUUACAUAUGUACCCAAUUUCGUAAGUCUGUUGAAUCCAAGUGUUCAAUUCGUGUAUGCUUCAAACUUCCACCAUAAAUUGGGCCACUUCCCAACAACUACCUCAGCCGAAUUGGGAGAUCGGGAGAUGUUCCUUUUCUGGACCAGCUUGGUGUCAUUCAUGA